rnacentral:rRNA from 1 species
UACGUAGGUGGCAAGCGUUGUCCGGAAUUACUGGGUGUAAAGCGCGUGUAGGCGGGAGGCCAAGUCUGUGGUGAAAUCGCCUGGCUUAACUGGGCGGGGUCCAUGGAAACUGGUCACCUGGAGGUCGGUAGAGGCAAGUGGAAUUCCCGGUGUAGUGGUGAAAUGCGCAGAUAUCAGGAGGAACACCGGUGGCGAAGGCGGGUCUCUGGGCCGAUACUGACGCUGAGGAGCGAAAGCGUGGGGAGCGAACAGG